UUGUUUUCAUUUUUUCUUAAUAUCAUCUUGUUGUAUGCCAGGAGAUAUUUCCAACUCAUAUUUAUUUGUCCAUUUUCGUUUAGAAAUGAGCGUUUUAUUUUGAUUCAAAGAUGGCUAGUUGGAAAUGCAAAAUGCAGAAAAUGAAGAAUAUUGUUCUUUUUCAUAAACUUUGUGGCUCUGUUUAGGAUCGAUUUUUUUUAUUUUUUCACUUUUUAUGAAUAUCAUCUUGUUGUAUG
rnacentral:lncRNA from 1 species